GACGGUACCUAAUCAGAAAGCCACGGCUAACUACGUGCCAGCAGCCGCGGUAAUACGUAGGUGGCAAGCGUUAUCCGGAAUUAUUGGGCGUAAAGCGCGCGUAGGCGGUUUUUUAAGUCUGAUGUGAAAGCCCACGGCUCAACCGUGGAGGGUCAUUGGAAACUGGAAAACUUGAGUGCAGAAGAGGAAAGUGGAAUUCCAUGUGUAGCGGUGAAAUGCGCAGAGAUAUGGAGGAACACCAGUGGCGAAGGCGACUUUCUGGUCUGUAA
rnacentral:rRNA from 1 species